CCUACGGGAGGCUGCAGUGGGGGAUAUUGCACAAUGGGGGAAACCCUGAUGCAGCGACGCCGCGUGUGGGAAGACGGUCUUCUGGAUUGUAAACCACUGUCCCCAGGGACGAAAAUGACGGUACCUGGGGAGGAAGCUCCGGCUAACUACGUGCCAGCAGCCGCGGUAAUACGUAGGGAGCAAGCGUUGUCCGGAAUUACUGGGUGUAAAGGGAGCGUAGGCGGGGAUGCAAGUUGGGUGUCAAAACUACCGGCUCAACCGAUUGUCGCACUCAAAACUGCAACUCUUGAGUGAAGUAGAGGCAGGCGGAAUUCCGAGUGUAGCGGUGAAAUGCGUAGAUAUUAGGAGGAACACCAGUGGCGAAGGCGGCCUGCUGGGCUUUUACUGACGCUGAGGCUCGAAAGUGUGGGGAGCAAACAGGAUUAGAUACCCUGGUAGUC
rnacentral:rRNA from 1 species